AUGUAAAGUGUUCAAUUAGAACAUGAAAAUGUGACUCAGUUGGUCUUAGUUAGUCUUCGGGAUGGAGUGGAAGAAGGACGAAGACUCUCGAAUGAGGAAAAUGAUCCCUUUGAAACAAUUCACCGAGGAGCCGUAUGA
rnacentral:rRNA from 1 species